UCGGGAAUUUUGGGCAAUGGGCGAAAGCCUGACCCAGCAACGCCGCGUGAGGGAUGAAGUAUUUCGGUAUGUAAACCUCGAAAGAAUGGGAAGAAUAAACGACGGUACCAUUUAUAAGCUCCGGCUAACUACGUGCCAGCAGCCGCGGUAAUACGUAGGGAGCAAGCGUUGUUCGGAUUUACUGGGCGUAAAGGGCGCGUAGGCGGCGCGGUAAGUCACUUGUGAAAUCUCUGAGCUUAACUCAGAACGGCCAAGUGAUACUGCUGUGCUAGAGUGCGGAAGAGGCAACCGGAAUUCUUGGUGUAGCGGUUAAAUGCGUAGAUAUCAAGAGGAACACCUGAGGCGAAGGCGGGUUGCUGGGCCGACACUGACGCUGAUGCGCGAAAGCCAGGGGAGCAAACG
rnacentral:rRNA from 1 species